rnacentral:rRNA from 1 species
UGCAAGUCGAACGGCAGCACGGGGGUAACCCUGGUGGCGAGUGGCGAACGGGUGAGGAAUACAUCGGAACGUAUCUUUAAGUGGGGGAUAACGCAUCGAAAGGUGUGCUAAUACCGCAUAAUCUCUGAGGAGAAAAGCAGGGGAUCGCAAGACCUUGCGCUAUUGGAGCGGCCGAUGCCUGAUUAGCUUGUUGGUGAGGUAAAAGCUCACCAAGGCUUCGAUCAGUAGCUGGUCUGAGAGGACGACCAGCCACACUGGGACUGAGACACGGCCCAGACUCCUACGGGAGGCAGCAGUGGGGAAUUUUGGACAAUGGGGGAAACCCUGAUCCAGCCAUGCCGCGUGAGUGAAGAAGGCCUUCGGGUUGUAAAGCUCUUUCAGCCGGAACGAAACGGUUACGGUUAAUACCCGUGACUACUGACGGUACCGGAAGAAGAAGCACCGGCUAACUACGUGCCAGCAGCCGCGGUAAUACGUAGGGUGCGAGCGUUAAUCGGAAUUACUGGGCGUAAAGCGUGCGCAGGCGGUUUUGUAAGUCAGAUGUGAAAUCCCCGGGCUUAACCUGGGAACUGCGUUUGAAACUGCAAGGCUAGAGUGUGGCAGAGGGGGGUGGAAUUCCGCGUGUAGCAGUGAAAUGCGUAGA